AGGAAAGUAGUUAAGGGCGCACGGCGGAUGCCUUGGCUCCCGGAGGCGACGAAGGACGCGGCAAGCUGCGAAAAGCCGCGGGGAGGCGCAUGCAGCCUUUGAUCCGCGGAUUUCCGAAUGGGACAACCCGUCAUCCUGAAGGGGUGACAUCCCGCUUUUGCGGGAGGCCAACGCGGGGAACUGAAACAUCUUAGUACCCGCAGGAAAAGAAAACAACAGUGAUUCCCCCAGUAGCGGCGAGCGAACGGGGAGAAGCCCAAACCGCAGGCGUUUCGGCGCCUGCGGGGUUGUAGGACCGCGAGGUCGGUUCUGGAAGGCGAGCGGAACGCGCUGGAACGCGCGGCCGCAGCGGGUGAAAGCCCCUUACGCGCAGCCUUCCCGGACUGUAGCGGGAUCCUGAGUAGGGCGGGACACGUGCAAUCCCGUCUGAAUCUGCCGGGCCCAUCCGGCAAGGCUGAAUACUCCCGGGAGACCGAUAGCGAACCAGUACCGUGAGGGAAAGGUGAAAAGCACUCCGAACAGGAGGUUGAAAUAGAACCUGAAACCGUGCGCCUACAAGCGGUCGGAGCCUUCUAUUGAAGGUGACGGCGUGCCUUUUGCAUAAUGAACCUGCGAGUUUCCGUCGCCGGCGAGGUUAAGGGGGACGACCCCCGGAGCCGCAGCGAAGGCGAGUCUGAACAGGGCGUUCAGUCGGCGGCGGAAGACGCGAAACCGAGUGAUCUACCCUUGUCCAGGAUGAAGUCCGGGUAACGCCGGAUGGAGGUCCGAACCGAUAGGCGUUGAAAAGCCUCCGGAUGAGGUGAGGGUAGGAGUGAAAGGCCAAUCAAACUCGGAGAUAGCUCGUACUCCCCGAAAUGCAUUUAGGUGCAGCCCCGGGCGUUCGCGGCGCGAGGUAGAGCGACUGAUAGGAUGCGGGGGCUUCGCCGCCUGCCAAGUCCUGACAAACUCCGAAUGCGCGCCGCCCACAGCCCGGGAGUGAGGGCGCGGGUGCUAAGGUCCGCGCCCGAGAGGAGAAGAAUCCUGACCGCCGUCCAAGGCCCCGAAGUGGAGGCUCAGUUAGUUUAACGGGGUCCGGCCGCAGAGACAGCUAGGACGUUGGCUUGGAAGCAGCCAUUCGUUUGAAGAGUGCGUAACAGCUCACUAGUCGAGGGGCCGGGCAUGGAUAAUAAUCGGGUAUAAGCCUCCCGCCGAAGACGCGGGACCUUAAGGUCGGUAGGGGAGCAUUCCGUGCGCGGCGAAUCCGGGGCGCGAGCUCCGGUGGAGCGCACGGAAAAGCAAAUGCAGGUAUAAGUAACGAUAAGGGGGGCGGGAAACCCCCCCGCCGCAAGACCAAGGUUUCCUGAUCCACGCUAAUCGGAUCAGGGUAAGUCGGGCCCUAAGGCUAAGCGUACGGCGAGGCCGAUGGCAGAGACGGUCAAGAUUCCGUCACUGCCCGCAGGGGCGAUGCGGGGACGCGGGAGUGGCACCGCCGCCGUCCGACGGAAUGGACGGUUUAAGGGUGUAGGAGCUGAGGAGUCCAGGAAAGUCCGGGCUCCGAUCCGAACCUGAAAGUACGGGGAUCCCUUCGGGGCUCCCCGAUAGCGCGGGUAACCAGGCCGCCGAGAAAAUCCGCUAAGCUCCACCCUGCGGGCACCCGUACCGAAACGGACACACGUGGUCGGGUAGAACAUACUGAGGCGCUCGGGUGAAUCACGGUCAAGGAACUAGGCAAACUGACCCUGUAACUUCGGGAUAAAGGGUCCCUCCUCGCAAGAGAGGGCGCAGAGAAUAGGUCCAGGCAACUGUUUAACAAAAACACAGGGCUGUGCCAAUACGAAAGUAGCCGUAUACAGCCUGACACCUGCCCGGUGCCGGAAGGUUAAGGGGAGAGGUCAUCCUUUCUGGAGAAGCCUUGAACUGAAGCCCCGGUAAACGGCGGCCGUAACUAUAACGGUCCUAAGGUAGCGAAAUUCCUUGUCGGGUAAGUUCCGACCUGCACGAAUGGUGUAAUGAUCCGGACACUGUCUCGACCGUGAGCCCGGUGAAAUUGUAGUAUCGGUGAAGAUGCCGAUUACCCGCGAUGGGACGAAAAGACCCCGUGAACCUUUACUGCAGCUUAGCGCUGCGCCUGGGCACGCGGUGUGUAGGAUAGGCCGGAGGCUUCGACUCGGGCGCGCCAGCGUCCGCCGAGCCGUCGUUGAAAUACGGCCCUCCGUUUGUCCGGGCGCUAACCCCCUCGGCGGGGUACACCGCUUGGCGGGCAGUUUGACUGGGGUGGUCGCCUCCAAAAGCGUAACGGAGGCUUCCAAAGGUGCCCUCGGGCCGAUCGGUAACCGGCCUGUGAGUGCAAUGGCAUAAGGGCGCUUGACUGGGAGGCAGACAUGCCGAGCAGGUGGGAAACCAGGGCAUAGUGAUCCGGCGGUUCCGCAUGGAAGGGCCGUCGCUCAAAGGAUAAAAGGUACUCCGGGGAUAACAGGCUGAUCCCUCCCAAGAGCUCAUAUCGACGGAGUGGUUUGGCACCUCGAUGUCGGCUCGUCACAUCCUGGGGCUGGAGAAGGUCCCAAGGGUUGGGCUGUUCGCCCAUUAAAGUGGCACGCGAGCUGGGUUCAGAACGUCGUGAGACAGUUCGGUCUCUAUCUAUCGCGGGCGCAUGAAAUUUGCGCGGCUCGGGCACUAGUACGAGAGGACCGUGCCUGACCGACCUCUGGUCUGCCGGUUGUGCCGCCAGGCGCACCGCCGGGUAUCCACGUCGGGAUCGGAUAAGCGCUGAACGCAUCUAAGCGCGAAGCCGGCCGCAAGAUUGGAUUUCACAGGGCCGUCAGAGACGAUGACGUCGAUAGGGCGCAGGUGCACGGGCGGAGACGCCCUCAGCCGAGCGCUACUAAUUGCCCGCACGCUUUCCUGG
rnacentral:rRNA from 1 species